rnacentral:rRNA from 1 species
GACGUAGGGCGCGAGCGUUGUCCGGAAUUAUUGGGCGUAAAGAGCUCGUAGGCGGUCUGUCGCGUCGGCUGUGAAAACUCGGGGCUCAACCCCGAGCCUGCAGUCGAUACGGGCAGACUAGAGUCCGGCAGGGGAGACUGGGAUUCCUGGUGUAGCGGUGAAAUGCGCAGAUAUCAGGAGGAACACCGAUGGCGAAGGCAGGUCUCUGGGCCACUACUGACGCUGAGAAGCGAAAGCGUGGGGAGCGAACAGG